rnacentral:rRNA from 1 species
AUUGAACGCUGGCGGCAGGCUUAACACAUGCAAGUCGAGCGGAGUGAUGGUGCUUGCACUAUCACUUAGCGGCGGACGGGUGAGUAAUGCUUAGGAAUCUGCCUAUUAGUGGGGGACAACAUCUCGAAAGGGAUGCUAAUACCGCAUACGUCCUAUGGGAGAAAGCAGGGGAUCACUUGUGACCUUGCGCUAAUAGAUGAGCCUAAGUCGGAUUAGCUAGUUGGUGGGGUAAAGGCCUACCAAGGCGACGAUCUGUAGCGGGUCUGAGAGGAUGAUCCGCCACACUGGGACAGGGAAACAGCCCAGACUCCUACGGGGGGGAGCAGUGGGGAAUAUUGGACAAUGGGGGGAACCCUGAUCCAGCCAUGCCGCGUGUGUGAAGAAGGCCUUAUGGUUGUAAAGCACUUUAAGCGAGGAGGAGGCUCUUUUGGUUAAUACCCAAGAUGAGUGGACGUUACUCGCAGAAUAAGCACCGGCUAACUCUGUGCCAGCCGCCGCAGUAA